CUACGGGGUGCAGCAGUGGGGAAUAUUGCACAAUGGAGGAAACUCUGAUGCAGCAACGCCGCGUGGAGGAUGACACUUUUCGGAGCGUAAACUCCUUUUAUAUAGGAAGGAGAUGACGGUACUAUAUGAAUAAGCGCCGGCUAACUCCGUGCCAGCAGCCGCGGUAAUACGGAGGGCGCAAGCGUUACUCGGAAUCACUGGGCGUAAAGAGCGUGUAGGCGGAUUAAAAAGUCAGAAGUGAAAUCUUAUAGCUUAACUAUAGAACUGCUUCUGAAACUCUUAAUCUAGAAUAUGGGAGAGGUAGAUGGAAUUUCUGGUGUAGGGGUAAAAUCCGUAGAGAUCAGAAGGAAUACCGAUUGCGAAGGCGAUCUACUAGAACAUUAUUGACGCUGAGACGCGAAAGCGUGGGGAGCAAACAGGAUUAGAUACCCUUGUAGUC
rnacentral:rRNA from 1 species